GCCGUGCACAGAGUUGCUAGUAGAGGUGCAGAAACAUCGAUGUUAUCGAUGUUUGCCAAUCAUCGGAACCAUCGAUGGUUUGUGAGCCACCAUCAAUGUUUUUUCAAACAACUCUGGACUUAGUGGCAGCAAACAAAUAAAUUGUUUCUAGUCGUGGUGUUGGUUAAUGUGGAUGGAUGAAGGAUGGACAACUACCUGAAAAGAGCGGGAUCGUCAAAUUCUUUAGAGUUUGAGACAGAAGCAAAACGGAAAAGAGCGUUCGAUUGCUUGGGACCAUUUCAAAAAAAGCACUGGCAUUUGCAACUACUGUGGUAAAUGGCUGAACACCAGUGCCAAUACCACAAACCUGCUUGACCAUCUCAAACAAAGCACUAUAGCCGCUGCAAAGUUAAAACAAGCACAGACAACUGAAAAGCCGCUCACAUUAAUACAGGAAGUUGCAACAAGAUGGAACAGCGCUUAUGAGAUGAUUAAAGGGUUGUUAAAGCUGAACGAAUGCGUUACUCUCUUCAGAAGCUGUGUGGACUUAUAAAUAAAAAUUCACAUUUCA